rnacentral:rRNA from 1 species
GCAUAUCAAUAAGCGGAGGAAAAGAAACCAACAGGGAUUGCCCUAGUAACGGCGAGUGAAGCGGCAACAGCUCAAAUUUGAAAUCUGGCUCUCGGGCCCGAGUUGUAAUUUGUAGAGGAUGCUUUUGAUGCGGUGCCUUCCGAGUUCCCUGGAACGGGACGCCAUAGAGGGUGAGAGCCCCGUCUGGUUGGAUGCCAAAUCUCUGUAAAGCUCCUUCGACGAGUCGAGUAGUUUGGGAAUGCUGCUCUAAAUGGGAGGUAUAUGUCUUCUAAAGCUAAAUACCGGCCAGAGACCGAUAGCGCACAAGUAGAGUGAUCGAAAGAUGAAAAGCACUUUGAAAAGAGAGUUAAAAAGUACGUGAAAUUGUUGAAAGGGAAGCGUUUAUGACCAGACUUGGGCUUGGUUAAUCAUCUGGGGUUCUCCCCAGUGCACUUUUCCAGUCCAGGCCAGCAUCAGUUUUCGCCGGGGGAUAAAGGCUUCGGGAAUGUGGCUCCCUCCGGGGAGUGUUAUAGCCCGUUGCGUAAUACCCUGGCGGGGACUGAGGUUCGCGCAUCUGCAAGGAUGCUGGCGUAAUGGUCAUCAACGACCCGUCUUGAAACACGGACCAAGGAGUCGUCUUCGUAUGCGAGUGUUCGGGUGUCAAACCCCUACGCGUAAUGAAAGUGAACGCAGGUGAGAGCUUCGGCGCAUCAUCGACCGAUCCUGAUGUUCUCGGAUGGAUUUGAGUAAGAGCAUACGGGGCCGGACCCGAAAGAAGGUGAACUAUGCCUGUGUAGGGUGAAGCCAGAGGAAACUCUGGUGGAGGCUCGCAGCGGUUCUGACGUGCAAAUCGAUCGUCAAACAUGGGCAUGGGGGCGAAAGACUAAUCGAACCUUCUAGUAGCUGGUUUCCGCCGAGU